GACGAACGCUGGCGGCGUGCUUAACACAUGCAAGUCGAACGGAAAGGCCCUGCUUUUGUGGGGUGCUCGAGUGGCGAACGGGUGAGUAACACGUGAGUAACCUGCCCUUGACUUUGGGAUAACUUCAGGAAACUGGGGCUAAUACCGGAUAGGAGCUCCUGCUGCAUGGUGGGGGUUGGAAAGUUUCGGCGGUUGGGGAUGGACUCGCGGCUUAUCAGCUUGUUGGUGGGGUAGUGGCUUACCAAGGCUUUGACGGGUAGCCGGCCUGAGGGGGUGCCCGGCCACAUGGGGACUGGGACACGGCCCAGACUCCUAGGGGGGGCAGCGGGGGGGAAUAUUGCACAAGGGGCGGAAUCCUGAUGCGACACCCCCGCGUGCGGGAAGACGGCCUUCGGGUUGUAAACCGCUUUCCCCUGGGACGAAGCGUGAGUGACGGAAAUGGGUAAAGAAGCACCGGCAAACUACGG
rnacentral:rRNA from 1 species